rnacentral:rRNA from 1 species
UUCCGUAGGUGAACCUGCGGAAGGAUCAUUACCGAGUGAGGGCCCUCUGGGUCCAACCUCCCACCCGUGUUUAUUUUACCUUGUUGCUUCGGCGGGCCCGCCUUAACUGGCCGCCGGGGGGCUUACGCCCCCGGGCCCGCGCCCGCCGAAGACACCCUCGAACUCUGUCUGAAGAUUGUAGUCUGAGUGAAAAUAUAAAUUAUUUAAAACUUUCAACAACGGAUCUCUUGGUUCCGGCAUCGAUGAAGAACGCAGCGAAAUGCGAUACGUAAUGUGAAUUGCAAAUUCAGUGAAUCAUCGAGUCUUUGAACGCACAUUGCGCCCCCUGGUAUUCCGGGGGGCAUGCCUGUCCGAGCGUCAUUUCUGCCCUCAAGCACGGCUUGUGUGUUGGGCCCCGUCCUCCGAUCCCGGGGGACGGGCCCGAAAGGCAGCGGCGGCACCGCGUCCGGUCCUCGAGCGUAUGGGGCUUUGUCACCCGCUCUGUAGGCCCGGCCGGCGCUUGCCGAUCAACCCAAAUUUUUAUCCAGGUUGACCUCGGAUCAGGUAGGGAUACCCGCUGAACUUAAGCAUAUCAAUAA